rnacentral:rRNA from 1 species
AACGAACGCUGGCGGCAUGCCUAACACAUGCAAGUCGAACGAAACCUUCGGGUCUAUUGGCGCACGUGUGCUUACCGCGUGGGAACCUGCCCUUAGGUUCGGUAUAACUCCCCUAAGGGGGUGCUAAUACAGGAUAAUGUCUUCGGACCAAAGAUUUGUCGCCUGUUGAUGGGCUCGCGGUGGUUUAGCUUGUUGGUGGGGUAGUGGCCUAUCAAGGCUACGAUGGGUAGCUGGUCUGAGAGGAUGAUCGGCCACAUUGGGACUGAGAUAAGGCCCAGACUAGUACGGGAGGCAGAAGUGGGGAAUAUUGCACAAUGGGCGGAAGCAUGAUGCAGCAAAGCAGCGUGCGGGAUGACGGCCUGGGGGUUGUAAACCGAUGUCGCCUGUGACGAAGCGUGAGUGACGGUAAUGGGUAAAGAAGCACCGGCUAACUACGUG